AUGACUUUGAUCUGCAUCCUCAUCUGGACUCUCCUCUGCUGCUGCUUCACAGAGUCCAGAGGACAGAUCACAGUGACUCAGCCUGGAGCAGAGAGCUCUGCUGUGGGAGGAUCUGUGAACAUCAAGUGUAGGACCAGUCAGAAUGUUUACUAUAGCAGCUAUCACUAUCUAGCCUGGUACCAACAGAAAGAUGGAGGAGUUCCUAAACUGCUCGUUUACUAUGCUAGCACUCGAGCAUCAGGGAUUCCAGCUCGUUUUACAGGCAGUGGAUCAAACUCUGACUUCACUCUGACCAUCAGUGGAGUCCAGGCUGAAGAUGCAGCAGUUUAUUACUGUCAGAGUUAUCACUACAUCAACAGUCAGAAUGUGUUCACACAGUGAAAAACAGUCGUACAAAAACCUCCCUCAGUCAGACUGAACAGAAACUGAACUGACUGCUGCAGCUGGAAGAUACUGCAG